rnacentral:rRNA from 1 species
UACUUAGGGUGCGAGCGUUGUCCGGAAUUAUUGGGCGUAAAGAGCUUGUAGGCGGUUUGUCGCGUCUGCUGUGAAAAUCCGGGGCUCAACCCCGGACUUGCAGUGGGUACGGGCAGACUAGAGUGUGGUAGGGGAGACUGGAAUUCCUGGUGUAGCGGUGGAAUGCGCAGAUAUCAGGAGGAACACCGAUGGCGAAGGCAGGUCUCUGGGCCACUACUGACGCUGAGAAGCGAAAGCAUGGGGAGCGAACAGG